rfam:Trichuris muris Edinburgh genomic scaffold, scaffold85
CAAACGGCCCUUUUCAGGGCCACUAACUUCUAUGCAACUUACCG